rnacentral:rRNA from 1 species
CGGAGGGUGCAAGCGUUAUCCGGAUUCACUGGGUUUAAAGGGUGCGUAGGAGGGCAGGUAAGUCAGUGGUGAAAUCCCCGAGCUUAACUUGGGAACUGCCGUUGAUACUAUCUGUCUUGAAUAUUGUGGAGGUGAGCGGAAUAUGUCAUGUAGCGGUGAAAUGCUUAGAUAUGACAUAGAACACCAAUUGCGAAGGCAGCUCGCUACACAUAUAUUGACUCUGAGGCACGAAAGCGUGGGGAUCAAACAGGAUUAGAUACCCUGGUAGUCCACGCCCUAAACGAUGGAUACUCGACAUACGCGAUACACUGUGUGUGUCUGAGCGAAAGCAUUAAGUAUCCCACCUGGGAAGUACGACCGCAAGGUUG